rnacentral:rRNA from 1 species
AGUGAACGCUGGCGGUAGGCCUAACACAUGCAAGUCGAACGGCAGCACAGUAAGAGCUUGCUCUUACGGGUGGCGAGUGGCGGACGGGUGAGGAAUACAUCGGAAUCUACUUUUUCGUGGGGGAUAACGUAGGGAAACUUACGCUAAUACCGCAUACGACCUACGGGUGAAAGCAGGGGAUCUUCGGACCUUGCGCGAUUGAAUGAGCCGAUGUCGGAUUAGCUAGUUGGCGGGGUAAAGGCCCACCAAGGCGACGAUCCGUAGCUGGUCUGAGAGGAUGAUCCGCCAAACUGGAACUGAGACACGGGCCAGACUCCUACGGGAGGCAGCAGGGGGGAAUAUUGGACAAUGGGGGCAAGCCUGAUCCAGCCAUACCGGGUGGGUGAAGAAGGCCUUCGGGUUGUAAAGCCCUUUUUUUGGGAAAGAAAAGCAGCAGGUUAAUACCCCGCUGUUCUGACGGUACCAAAAGAAUAAGCACCGGCUAACUUCGU